rnacentral:misc_RNA from 1 species
AAGUCGUAACAAGGUCUCCGUUGGUGAACCAGCGGAGGGAUCAUUACUGAGUCGUAAAACAUCCCAAACCCCAUGUGAAUCUACCUAUGUUUGCCCUCGGGAGGGACCUACCCGGGUAACUACCCCUGUACCUACCCUGUAGCCUGCCGGUGGACAAUCAACUCUUGUUAUUUUAUGGAAACUGAGCGUCUUAUUAAAUAAGCAAA